GACGUAGGGCGCGAGCGUUGUCCGGAUUUAUUGGGCGUAAAGAGCUCGUAGGCGGUUUGUCGCGUCUGCUGUGAAAACCCGAGGCUCAACCUCGGGCCUGCAGUGGGUACGGGCAGACUAGAGUGCGGUAGGGGAGAUUGGAAUUCCUGGUGUAGCGGUGGAAUGCGCAGAUAUCAGGAGGAACACCAAUGGCGAAGGCAGAUCUCUGGGCCGUAACUGACGCUGAGGAGCGAAAGUGUGGGGAGCGAACAGG
rnacentral:rRNA from 1 species